UACGUAGGGGCCUAGCGUUGUCCGGAUUUAUUGGGCGUAAAGAGCGUGUAGGCGGCCCGGUAAGUCCGCUGUGAAAGUCGGGGGCUCAACCCUCGAAAGCCGGUGGAUACUGUCGGGCUAGAGUGCGGAAGAGGCGAGUGGAAUUCCUGGUGUAGCGGUGAAAAUGCGCAGAUAUCAGGAGGAACACCGAUUGCGAAGGCAGCUCGCUGGGACGUAACUGACGCUGAGACGCGAAAGCUAGGGGAGCGAACAGG
rnacentral:rRNA from 1 species